rnacentral:rRNA from 1 species
CGAUUCGAGGUGGCGGACGGGUGAGUAACGCGUGGGUAACCUGCCUUACACAGGGGGAUAACACCUGGAAACAGGUGCUAAUACCGCAUAAGCGCACAGGGCCGCAUGGCCCGGUGUGAAAAACUCCGGUGGUGUAAGAUGGACCCGCGUCUGAUUAGCUUGUUGGCGGGGUAGGGGCCCACCAAGGCGACGAUCAGUAGCCGGCCUGAGAGGGUGGACGGCCACAUUGGGACUGAGACACGGCCCAAACUCCUACGGGAGGCAGCAG